UAAAGUAAUACUACUUCAACUGUCUUUAUUUAUCCAUUGGACUGGCCAUUUUAAAUCUAAACUUCUAAACACAAAUCAAACCAUCAUCCUUGUAGAAUCUUUAAUAGGAGUGGGCUAAAGAUCCUGGUUUUGCUUACAGGAUUUAUUGGUUCAUGAAGAGCAAGAGGUAAGUACAAGCCUAACUACCCUCUAGCUCACAGACCUGCCCGGUGAAUAGAGCUUUGUUUUUUUGAUGGGCUUGUGAUGACUUUGAAAUCAAUUGCUCAUUCAUUACAGUAAAAAAAAAAAAAUUGUUUUGAACAUGACAGCAAAAAUAACUUUAAGCACAACUUAAUAAUAAUAGAUCACCAAUUUUAGUUAAUAAUUUUAUGCUGUACUCUUGGGUGAGGGAAGACUCGGACACUCAAUAUGAGAUCAGCAAGCUAUGUUUAUUGCAGAGAGUAUCAGACACUUAUAUAGCACAUAAUAAGCUUAUGAAUAUUCUGUAAGCCAAGCGAUCUAUUGGUUAAACUAUACCAUCAACUCUUCCUCAUUCCUUUGGGCCUACAUUCCCUAUUUCCCACGUCUCUCUGUCUACUUGUUAUCCUACCCAGCUAGGCCCAGGCACACGCUAUCUUGCAGGUGCAAAACUCAAAAAUACCUGUGUUCGGUACUUUCCCAGCUCCUGGUCGACUAACGAGCGAAUGUCUGCGUGACCUCUGUCAUGGAGCCAUUUCUCCACACUAUACUAUCAAAGUUUAAAGGUAAAUUAUUAUAUAUUAGGAGAUGGUAUAAAGUGUAUGUUGUAAUGUGUAGGAUAUAUACAAAGAUACAUACUUGAAAGUCCGUAGAGGAAACAAAUUUUUAUGCCUUCUGUUUGACUGUUUGUCAUAUAUUUGGUUUUAUUUCCCAGGGAUCAGUGAAUUUUAACUCUGGAGUCCUCUAUGCUAAGGAUGCUCAGCUUACAGAUGAUGAAAUGUUCAGUAAUGGUGAGUUUUUCACCUUCUCCUUCAUUGUUUUGCUCAUCUGAAUAAAAAAAAAAAAGGCAAGAUUAAAGAAAAAGCAAUAGUUUUAUUAUUUUUACCCUGUUAUGUCUGUUUCCUCAGUAUUUGCUGGAGCUGUGCUUACCCAAGGUUUGGGUAAAACAAGCUUUGGGUUCCUUCUGUCUCACUGGGAGUUGCCCAAUUCAGUUGCAUCUGGUGAAAUUCACCCUGAGACCUUAUAGAACCAGCUCCAACUACGUGAGAGCCAUUUGCAGUUCUCUCCAGACACCUGGAGAAUGGGUGACGUUUCUGAGGAUCCGGCGAGCGUGCUUCUGUCAAAACUCAGUUUGUGAAAUUUCUGGGGAAAACCCUUCUGUGUCCUGAAGGGUUCAAACUCUGGUGAGGAUCCAGUUAUCAGGUGCUCACCUGGAUGGUUCCAGCUGCCAAAGGUAACACUUGUACUCUUGCCCUGUAGUUUACAUCUAUUGUAUUUUUGUUAUUUUGCAGGAUUUUUUGUCUUUGCAAAAUAUUGUGCAUUUCACUCUUUGGAACCUCUCAGAUGGUUCUUUGGUGCAGCACCACCCCAUGGGACACUUGGCUGCUGUCCUGAAGGGGUUGGUCGCUAGAAUUGUAAAUCCUGGAGAGUUUGUAAGUCUUCUGUCCCCAGGGAGGUAUCAUGCUUCGUUUACUUUUGUUCUGUUGGUUAGGCGCUGCCUCUCGUUGCAAGUAUGAAUUUCAAACUGCCCUGUUCUUAUUUUAACUUUUUUCCUGGUUCUCUCCGUCCGGCAGGGAAAGACUCUCGUAUCCUUGUCCUCGGGCUCGGUGCUGUCCAAGAAGAUACAGAGACUAAAAAAAUCAUAUGAAGCAAAAUAUGACUGCAGGGAAAAGAAGCUGGAGAGAACAGAAGGGGCUGUUUCCAAAGUGACCUACAGACAUUGGAAUGAAAUCAUUAUUUACUGUGUAAAAGAAUCACUCUCCAAAGCAUCAGCCAAGGUCUAAAUGUGCCAUUCUGCCUUUUAAAAGUACCAACAUCACAGGAUUUUUCUCAGAUUAAAGCUUCCAUGGAGUCGGACACCACAACAUCGGAUCUCUCAAGCCUGGCCCUUGAGAAUUGUGUGCCUCCUGUGAACUGGUCUUGCCAGAAGGGCUUGCUGAGUUUUCCAUUGUGUGGAAAAGAGAUCCCAUUUGCAGCCUGAAGCCUCAUGUUUCCUGUAGGAUUUCUACUCCUAGAAUUGCACACUUUGAAGGAUUUCUUAUAGCAGAAGUUUUUUGGGAACUAGGACUCUGGUUGGAUUUGGGUCUCUGGACUCUCAGGUGAAGUGACCUUGAGACACUAGGGCAUGCAGAUUUCCUUGCUGUUGAAAAGAGCUAUUGUUCGCACCCAGGAGCCAUGGUCUGAAUGGGGGUGUCACCUCUUAAAUUUGCAAAUGUCACAGGAUUUCUUCUAAAUGAAUGGUGCUAAGAACAUAAGGUCUGGCUGGCUUUCGACUUAGAGGUGCCUCCUCUAAAUUGGUCUUCAGACGCUAGGUUGGAAAGUGUUCCUACAUAUGCCAAAUAGCCCUUGCUAUGCAAUUAAUAAGCUUCAAAUUACCAUGGAGUUGCUGCCCCUGCAAAGAUUUUGGCAGAGCCUGGUUGUGGUGCCCCACUCCACUCCACCACCCUUAGCAGGUCCUUAUGGUUGCAUGGGGAAUCAUUGUGGAGCAUGCCAACCCAGCUCCAUCCUGGGAACAGCACCUGUAUUUUACCCUAAAAUUUCUGUCCCAUUAUAGCUCCUGUUAGGAUACAAAUGUAACUUCUCGGUUUCCACUGAUUUUACCCCCAGUCAUCUUUCCAUACAGACAUUGCUCCACUCCCCAGAGGAUUAUUGUGAGCAGAUGUGAGUUCUGCUGUCCCUUUGGACUGACAAAGACAGAGGUUUUGUCCCAAGUUGCUUUUGAACCUGUCCUGCACCUGUUACGAGUCCUCAGUCUCCUGCAAUUUUGUGGGUCAGUCACAUGUAAAACAGCACAGCUGGCUGGCAUGCUUUGCUCAUGAGGGGAGACAAGAGAAGAAUCCCUCUGCUCACACCAGACCUGCAGCUGCCAAACCUCACCAAAGCACCUGAGGAGCCCCCAGGGACUGAUGGUACAGAAGGGAGGUGAUGGAGGACAGCACAGCAGGCAGCCUGCCCUCCAUCUGGGUGUGAAGAAGGCAGGGCUGGGAACUGUAAGCAACAUCCCAGCAGGUCUGGCUGAUGGUGCCACCCUGAGGGCUUCCCCUGCCUUUGGGCAGUCCCAGCUGCUGCAGCUCACUUGACAGACUCAUUGUCUAUACUGUGCUUGGCUGCACUGGAGAUGAUGAAGCCGAGGACAGCAAUGGUUGCCUUCACAUCCCCUGACUGCAGAUGGGAAGGAGGGCGAGCUCUGUCACCUUGGGAAGGCGUCUGCAGAGUCACUGCUGCCCGUCUCUGGAGCGUGGCUCCAUUGGGGGACCGUGGUAAGGACAGCAGUGCUCACUUAACUGUGCACCUGAGGACAGCUUCAGGAUCUUGUCAUACUGUGGGAGAGCAGAGCUUCACAGUAAACACCAGCUAACACACUGACUGCCAGUGUUAACACUAACAGUUCUUACCUAAAUAUUAAUACUAGUAACACUUACUAUGCGUAUUAUUAAUCCUAGUAGAGGCUGGUAGCGUUCUUUAGGCUGAGGCUUGCAUGAAGAAUACAAAAUUAAUUAACGUUGCUGAUUAUGCUAUUGUGUUGAAAUACUUGGCCUCCACUGCGGUAGCCCCACGCUUACCUCGAUGGCCUGCCCCAGCAGGUCCCAAAACACCUGGAUGCAGAUCAGCUUAAGCUUCACUGAUGUGAUAAACAGAGUUCACUCUUUAUAAUUUUUAAAAUUUUAAUAAAGGAUAAAAGGACAAAAUAAUCCAGCACUGGGAUGCUUUUAGCACACAGCCAAAGAGCACAGAGGUAGCUUAAAAACAUGUUCACUAUAUACUGUUACAUUGCUGAGGUUACAGGCAUAUUCAUUAACUUACACAUUAUUCAAACAUUCCUUUGACUUUUUGAUGUUCCAGGAACUCUCUUGUUUGGUUUUAACCUCUGACUUGUCUGCAGAACGUUCUGUAAAUUAGGUCUACAUAUUUUAUUUCUUCCUGUAGUUUUAUCCUGUUGCUUCACACUCCCUGAUAACACUGGUAAGAGUCGAUAAAUCCUUCCUGGAUGCUUAA